GCAAAAGGUAAAAGAGAGAAGCAGAAACAAGGAGCUGAAAUUGAAUUUCUGGAUAGGUGAUUUUCCAACGUUGAGUGAAAAAGGAAAGUGAUAUAAUCUCCGUAGGAGCUUGUGCACACACAAGGGCAAAAAGGUGAGCAUGAAACUAUGUAGAGGGCACGACUAGCUGUGGAGCUCUUACGGGAUUCCAAAAAUCAAUGUACAUGGAUGACAACCUGUAGGGUUAUUUUGUGGGCUAUUGUUUUGAGCUUACACUCUAUUGUGUCGUAUUUUGGGGGUCCUAUCUUGUAUAACUUUUGAAAUGGCCUAUAGAUGUGUUUAUAACCUUA